AAACUUUGAAUUUUUUUGAAAUAAAAACACUUCGAAAUUAUUGAAAUAAAAACACUGAAUCGGAUCGAACGUUGCUUCUUUAACACACGGCUUGGAGCGUGAACGUUGCUGCUUUUUUAUUACACACGGCUUGGAGCGUGAACGUUGCUGCUAGCCGUUGGGGGAUUCAUACAAAUAGCUAAAAUUAGAGGCAAUUGGGAGAUUCAUACAUUUAAAGCCUCUAAAAGAAUUCUCGAAUAAAAUCAGGGCAAAAGAGGGAAGAGCUCCGAAUAAAAAUCAGGGCAAGGGAAGGAAGAGGAUUUGUGGCAGGGAGUGGCAGUAAACUGAGCUUUCCAUUUGAACUGGAGUUCCUCGUUAUUCCAAAACAUUUGGCAGAAGAGGAUUUGUGGUAGGGGUUGAGCUCUGCAUUUGCGUUGGAGUGUUGUGUCAUUGGGCACAGAAGGUGCUUACAGUUGAUGGAUUGCACCAUCAAAUGAUUUUAUCUCUUUGAAAGUCCCACUUGAUGAUCCGAACAUGCCAUGAAAUUCUUGGUUUGUGGUUAAAGGGCUUGAUAAGCUGGUUGUGAUCAGUCCAGCUGAUGAUCCAAACAUACAAUGAAAUUCUUGAUUCGUGGUUAAAGGGCUUGACAGUGAGCUGGUUGUGAUCAAUCAGGGACAAUUAAAAAAAAGUUUGGACAAGUAAGAACUUGAACACAAAGAAUUCGUUGGAGGAUUUGUGCACAACAAGAACUUGAACAUGAAGAUUUCAAAGAAGGGAUCAACUUGUGGUACUGUUUAAUAGUUGAAUGGAAGUAUAAAAUAUGUAACAUUUCAUUUAAAUUGACUAUUUUUGUUUAUUGUAAGCAUUCCUCAACAAUAUAAUUAAUAAAGAUAUACUAUAUUUUUUAAAGGAGGGGUAGAAAUACCCCUCCAAAAACUCUCAAAGAUGGCCAUGGGCAUCUUUGAGAGCGUCUCUUGUUUCUCUACUACUAUUAUUUUGUUUUGUUUUUUUCUUUUUUAAAGUUGGUCAAAAAUAUCAUUGUUGUAAU